rnacentral:rRNA from 1 species
GGACUACAGGGGUAUCUAAUCCUGUUCGCUCCCCACGCUUUCGCGUCUCAGCGUCAGUACCGUCCCAGAGAACCGCCUUCGCCACGGGUGUUCUUCCCGAUAUCUGCGCAUUUCACCGCUACACCGGGAAUUCCAUUCUCCUCUUCCGGACUCUAGCCAGAUGGUUUCCGCCGACAGCUCGAGGUUAAGCCUCGAGUUUUCACAGCAGACCUACCUGGCCGCCUACACGCUCUUUACGCCCAAUAAAUCCGGACAACGCUUGCCCCCUACGUAUUACCGCGGCUGCUGGCAC